rnacentral:rRNA from 1 species
UACGUAGGUGGCAAGCGUUAAUCGGAAUUACUGGGCGUAAAGCGCACGCAGGCGGAUUGUUAAGUCAGAUGUGAAAUCCCCCGGCUCAACCUGGGAACUGCAUCUGAUACUGGCAAGCUUGAGUCUAGUAGAGGGGGGUAGAAUUCCAGGUGUAGCGGUGAAAUGCGUAGAGAUCUGGAGGAAUACCGGUGGCGAAGGCGGCUCCCUGGACGACGACUGACGCUCAGGUGCGAAAGCGUGGGGAGCAAACAGG